rnacentral:rRNA from 1 species
UACAGAGACUGCAAGCGUUAUUCGGAUUCACUGGGCGUAAAGGGUGCGCAGGCGGCCAAGUGUGUGAGGCGUGAAAGCCUGGAGCUUAACUCCAGAAUUGCACCUCAAACUACAUGGCUAGAGCAUUGGAGAGGGUAGCGGAAUUCACGGUGUAGCAGUGAAAUGCGUAGAUAUCGUGAGGAACACCAGAGGUGAAGGCGGCUACCUGGACAAUUGCUGACGCUCAGGCACGAAAGCGUGGGGAGCAAAAGGG